CCUACGGGUGGCAGCAGUGGGGAAUAUUUGGCAAUGGGCGCAAGCCUGACCCAGCAACGCCGCGUGAAGGAAGAAUGCUUUCGGGUUGUAAACUUCUUAUAAGAGGGAAGAGCAGAAGACGGUACCUCUUGAAUACACCACGGCCAACUACGUGCCAGCAGCCGCGUGAAUAAGUAGGUGGCAAGCGUUGUCCGGAUUUACUGGGUGUAAAGGGCGUGUAGCCGGGCUGACAAGUCAGAUGUGAAAUUCCGGGGCUCAACCCCGGACCUGCAUUUGAAACUGUUGGUCUUGAGUAUCGGAGAGGCAGGCGGAAUUCCUAGUGUAGCGGUGAAAUGCGUAGAUAUUAGGAGGAACACCAGUGGCGAAGGCGGCCUGCUGGACGACAACUGACGGUGAGGCGCGAAAGCGUGGGGAGCAAACAGGAUUAGAUACCCUUGUAGUC
rnacentral:rRNA from 1 species